rnacentral:rRNA from 1 species
UACGAAGGGGGCUAGCGUUGCUCGGAAUCACUGGGCGUAAAGCGCACGUAGGCGGCUUACUAAGUCAGGGGUGAAAUCCUGGAGCUCAACUCCAGAACUGCCUUUGAUACUGGUGAGCUUGAGUCCGGAAGAGGUGAGUGGAACUGCGAGUGUAGAGGUGAAAUUCGUAGAUAUUCGCAAGAACACCAGUGGCGAAGGCGGCUCACUGGUCCGGUACUGACGCUGAGGUGCGAAAGCGUGGGGGAGCAAACAGGG